rnacentral:rRNA from 1 species
UACGUAGGGUGCAAGCGUUAAUCGGAAUUACUGGGCGUAAAGCGUGCGCAGGUGGUUUUUUAAGUUUGUUGUGAAAGCCCCGGGCUCAACCUGGGAAUUGCGAUGAAGACUGCAAGGCUUGAAUCUGGCAGAGGGGGGUAGAAUUCCACGUGUAGCGGUGAAAUGCGUAGAGAUGUGGAGGAACACCGAUGGCGAAGGCAGCCCCCUGGGUCAAGAUUGACGCUCAUGCACGAAAGCGUGGGGAGCAAACAGG